AACCCUAGCGGCCUCCCUGGCCGUUUUCUCCAUAUCUAUGAUUCGAGAUCCAUUUGUUCAAGAGUUUCAGACUAUUUCAAUCAUCUACAACCACCACACAGUUGUCAUCUACGAUCCAUAUGAUUCAAGCAACAGGCUAAAUCGCCAUCUGAGAUUCUAUCGAAGAGACCAAGAAAAUAGAGUAACCGCCCACCCAUAAUGCCAGCAAGAAGACAUUAGGGGUUUUGUUUUACAGGCAAGUUAGUUGUUGAUUACAUAUUGUUCUGCUGAAGAGCAUUGAGAUAGAAAAGGUGUUGUAGCUUGUUGCCCAUGAAUGGAACUUUGGUUUAUCGUCAUUGCUGCUGUGAUCUGUUGUAUAUACCUUUUGACAGUAUCGAUGUUGAGUCAUUGUUGAUAAUAGUAUUUUCUUCAUGUUUCUUGUGGGUUUUGAAACCAAAUUGUUUUUUUUGUUUUUUUU